AGACAUUCUAACCCACUUCCUUAUUUUACAGAGACAUCUUUACUUUCAUGAAAUUCUGAUGUGAUACAUAAAGAAGAGAAGGUCAUCUUCCUAGCUGGCCAGAUCAGCCAAAUCAUCCCUGGGGAUAAACAGUACCUCAUCUAUUACACUCAGGAGCAGCUACAGCUAGAGUCACCAAGAAGGGUCGCUGACAUGGUAGUUGAUGCUAGCAGGUCAGCUGGGAGGUCAGCUGCGGCUUUCUGGCAGAGUAUCUACAUGUGGUCUCUCUCUCAAGGUGACUUGGACUUCAAACAGGAUGGUACCCAUGUCCCACUGGAGAACAACUCAAGCAUCAAUAUUCCAAAAUUUGUGAUGCUUCAAGAUUGAUUGAGGAUCAAUCACAGUUUCCCAGAACUGGAAAGGUCCUACUUUUCCCCUGCUCUACUUGUUAAGCUGCCUCCACAGCCUGCUCAUGUUCAAGGGCCUGGAGAAAUAAAAUGUUUCUUCAUGAAAGCAUGGCAAUGUCACAUUGCAGAAGUGCAUGUGGGAAUAAACAUAUUGUUGUGGCCAACUUUGGAAAAUAUAAAUUCUCAAAAUCACUUUGGAAAGGGUUUCUCUUUUGACAGAAAUCAAAAGGUAACCAUCUAAAAGCACUUCUCCUUUCAUUCUGGGCACAGAGCUGGAUAAUAUUUCUAAUUUCUGUAACUCUUAGGAAUGGCUAUAUCACUUACAUUUAGCCAAUGGAAUGCACACACAAAUGUGUAUUCCACCCCCUGGUCUGAGCCAUAGUUCUCCGCAGUGAUAUCCCUCAUAUUAUUUCUCUUUUCACUUUACUAUUGUGACAAUGCCUAGGGAAACCUAGGGAGGCAUAUGUUAAAGUUGGCAGAAUUUCUGUGACCCUGAGUCUAAUUUGAUCCUCAAUGACUUUCAUCCCUGUGUUGAGUGUGAGCAAAAUCUAUCAAUAGGAUGAGAUAGUACUUCCAUGAGUACGUUAUAGUUUAUAGCAAAUGAGAUUUUUACAGUGUAAUUAGAGUUGGAAAUCACUGCUUUUUAACUGUGUCAAAUGAGUCAUUAAACUUGUCCUCUGUGUAAUUUUUG
rnacentral:lncRNA from 10 species